UACGGGGGGGGCAAGCGUUGUUCGGAAUUACUGGGCGUAAAGGGCUCGUAGGUGGCCAACUAAGUCAGACGUGAAAUCCCUCAGCUUAACUGGGGAACUGCGUCUGAUACUGGAUGGCUUGAGUUUGGGAGAGGGAUGCGGAAUUCCAGGUGUAGCGGUGAAAUGCGUAGAUAUCUGGAGGAACACCGGUGGCGAAGGCGGCAUCCUGGACCAACACUGACACUGAGGAGCGAAAGCUAGGGGAGCGAACAGG
rnacentral:rRNA from 1 species